AAGAUAAGCUAAUAACUUUGGACACAAUUUCACUCCUCUGCAUUCACCAAAUGUCCAAUUACAUAUCCUCCCUGCCUGGACCUUCAGAACAAUAUAAAACUGAAUGAAGGCUAUGAAAGAAGUCACAGGAGGAUUUUUGCAGAGCUUCCAUCCAGUUCAGAAACAAAGCAAUUCAAUACAUGUCUUCAAGAUUUCUAAAGGCAAUGACUUAAUUCUAAGUUCCAUGAAAGCAGGCAUUGUGUGAAUUUCUCCUGCAUCUGGAACUGGCCUAGCACACCAAAUGGAGUCUCACUCUGUCUCCCACGCUGGAGUGCCUCUGAAUGCUGUUUUAGCCAUGGUUCUGGAGAGGGUAGCGACAGGAGCUGUCUAGGUGGGAUCCAGAGGAAAGUACGAAUGAGCAGAAGGGGCAAACUUGUUUACCAAAUUCUCAAAUGAAAAACAAAAUAUUCUUGUGCGGAAUUUCAGAGAAUUGCAGUUCCUGUUUCAGCCUGAACCUCAGAUUUUUCCACCCACAUGGAGUUUGGAGAGUCUUACAACAUGAAGUUCAAAACAGAAACAUUAAUCGCCUCCACACUUUAAUGCCUUGUUUUUCUCCACCACAAAAAUGUUUACCCAGGCUGAAGUACUUUUUCUCCUGAGCCCAGACUUGAUAAUCACUUUCUCAAUCUCUGCUUGUUAAAUGGCUUCUAAAAAUUCUUGGGUAAAUAUGGGUAUGGUUGCAUAAAAGAAAAAUCCCUUAAAGGAUAAGCCAAAAUUUUUCAGUGAUAGUGCAUAAAAGCCUUGUUAUCUUUAAGGCUUGUCUUUUGGUGCAUAGAGCCAAAUAAAUUGCCAAGGCAAAAACAAAAAGAAAGAAAAUCUAGUCUCUGAUUUAGUGCCCAAAAGUUUUUAAUGCUUUGGGUCCUCCAGUUGCUCUAAGAAUUUUUUGUGGCUUUGAAGCUUUUUAUCAGGUUUUAAUUUUAUCCUUAUAUUUUGACUGAUAUUUCCAUUAAAUGAAUUAGGGGAUGUACAAUAUGCCAACCAUAUACUACAUAAAAGUAUUGUCACUCAGGCCUACAAAGUGCCUAACAACCAAACAGAAUAUUCACUGCAAAUGACUCAUGGAAUGUUACCUGAGAGAGUAAUAAAUAUUCUUUCAACAUUCAUCCAAGUAAAUAAGCUCUGUCAGGAAAGAAUGUUCAGAAGCAAAGGGCCCUUCACUGGAAAAGAGGUAACAAUAAAUAUAUAAGAAAGGAAGAGAAGAUAUGAAGAUUUUAGAUUGUCUAAGGGGAAGUGUUUAUAUGUAAAAGGAAAAUGUAAAAUAUGAUGACUAUCUCUUAUUGUAUAAUAUUCCUUACAUAAAAAUAAAUCUACUUGCCAUUAAUUUAUUUUUCUAAUGUAGAAAUUAGACAUGUGAUUCAUUAUUUUCUAGUAGCCAUUAAUCAAGUAUGAUCAUGUUCUGCCGACUUAUCCUCUGGAAGAAGGCUGUUCUCCAAUAGGUCAACUUUCUCCAAGUCCCAGCUAAUAUAUCACCCAUGUUAUGAUGCCUUGUUUCUGAAACUCUUCAGCUGAAUUAUGUUGUCCCUCCAAUGACUUUUCCUACAGCACUAUUAAAGCAUUAAUUACUCUAUGUUGGGUUUCGUUUGUUCAUCUAUCUUUCCAUCAAGAAAGGAAGCACAUCAAUGGUAGGAAAUGUGUCACAUUUACUUUAGUUUAUCUUUUGCCCUACCUCAGGGCCCAGGACACGUCAGAACAUUUCUUGAAUGAAUGAACAAAUGAAUGAAUAUUAUGCUGAACUCAUUUUGAUAACAUCACAUGCACGUAGGAGAAUAUAAACAAAUAAAUGCAACUUGCCACAAAUCGUAGUUGUUUAUUCACUCACUCUGUUAAAAAAAAAAGCAUUAGAGUUUCCAGUAUUGAGAAAGAUGGACAAUAAACAAGUAAAUAAAUAA
rnacentral:lncRNA from 1 species